rnacentral:lncRNA from 1 species
GAUAAUAACUUUCAAAAUCAUAUAAAGCUCUUGAUUAAAUGAAAAAAAAAUCUAAUUUGAUUCUUCACUAGAUAGAAAAAGAAAAUAAAACCAAUUUACUACAUAAGACAGGAAAAUUAAGCAAACCACAGUGGAAGGAGACAGAUUGCUAUCAACAGUUAAGAAAAGAGUUGGCGAGCUAAAAUAAUCAAGCUAUCAAAGUUACACAAACCAUAUCAACGAACAAACAUUAACAGCAAAUACCCUUUAUAAGAGGAGAGGAUUCCCUCCUACAGCAAGAUAUCACCGAAUAGACAGCCUGGGCAAACAACCACGCAC